GGAGGGGCCCGUGACCUUCAGGUGACCCUGGCCCAGCCGCCCUCAGCGAGAAAGGGCGGGAACGCUGAGGGUCGAAGAGAGGGCGGUGGGAAGUGACAGCGGCGUUCCGGGCUCCUCUUGUCUGGUGGGCGGCUGGGACACCUAUAUAAGGCACAGAGUCGGACAAGAAUUGGUGAAUGACAACAAAGAUGAAAUAAUGGGAACUAGAAUCUCAAAUUAGCAUGAAGAGGAGAGGAGCACUGGGCAAAAUAACCUUGCUGUCACAUUUCAGCUCCAUUUGCCCAGUCUGCCUGCCUCCGUGAUCCCCUGCAGCGCCGGCUGGAGCUCUGCGGUGCGUCAAUGAGGAGCUGCUGCGGAGGAAAGAAGGAGCGGCAUGGGGAACUGGGAGCCCAGAGCAAGAAAGAAGAGGAUGAUGUUGGCUGUCAGUCUCUUGGGAUUACGUUUGGCCUUUUGGAACCCCAGUUUGCACGUUUGUAUAAGACUUGAUGGCUCCUUGUUGCCCCCGGGGACCCCUGAGAAUAAAAUUUGCAUGUUCAAUUGA